AUUGAACGCUGGCGGCAGGCUUAACACAUGCAAGUCGAGCGGGGUGAUGGUGCUUGCACUAUCACUUAGCGGCGGACGGGUGAGUAAUGCUUAGGAAUCUGCCUAUUAGUGGGGGACAACAUCUCGAAAGGGAUGCUAAUACCGCAUACGUCCUACGGGAGAAAGCAGGGGAUCACUUGUGACCUUGCGCUAAUAGAUGAGCCUAAGUCGGAUUAGCUAGUUGGUGGGGUAAAGGCCUACCAAGGCGACGAUCUGUAGCGGGUCUGAGAGGAUGACCCGCCGCAGGUGGAAUGAGACACGGCGCAGGCUCCUACGGGAGGCAUCAGUGGGGAACAUUGGACAAUGGGGGGAACCCUGAUCCAGCCAUGCCGCGUGUGUGAAGAAGGCCUUAUGGUUGUAAAGCACUUUAAGCGAGGAGGGGGCUCUUUUGGUUAAUACCCAAGAUGAGUGGACGUUACUCGCAGAAUAAGCACCGGCUAACUCUGUGCCAGCCGCCGCCGUAA
rnacentral:rRNA from 1 species